CUCUGAGAUCGAUACCAGUCUGAAACCAGUCUGUAACCGGUCUGAUUCUCUUUAACUAGCCUGUAACCAGUCUGGUACCAGUCGACAGGCAGGUCAGGACUCCACCCUAGCUAAAAGAUGAUGCAUCAUUCAAACUCCUGAAGACGACACAUUAAUCGAUUGAAUGUGAUUUCAGUAAAAACCUCCUGCUGCAGCAUCUGACGGCUGAAGACGUGUCGGCUGCUGUUUGACCCAGUUCUUUGUCUCUGGGCUCCGCUUGGACUGUUUCAGCUGCUGCAGUGCAUUCUGGGACAUGAGCAUCAAGCCUCUUCUGGAGGUUUAGAACAGACGAAGCUUCCCUGCUCACACACGCUGCAUUCCUCAUCUCUCACAUACCUGAGCCAGUUCAGACGUGUGAACGUCAGGAGGCCGAGGACGUGUUAACACAGAGCCCACCUCCAGGAGCAGCCGGGUGGAGUCAGCCAGAACACGUACCCACCGGGAGGUAGAAAUACCACGGAGAUACAGGCAGCAAGUACAAAUAAUAUAUACCGUUACUACAGCUACUAGACAGCUGAUAUCAUAUACAGUAAACUAGAUACUGCAAGUAUUACUGCCUCCAGCAAGCUAAAGCAGAAAUACUAGUACAUUGAGUUCAACAAACAAGUUACUGCAUUUACAGGACAAAUGAUACAGAUACUGUAUCACUAUAGACCUGUGGAUUCUAGAGCAGCAUCUCCACUUUGAUGAGCUGCUGUGUGUGUUUGGGUUCUGGGUUGAGGUCUAACAAGCGCAGGCAGGUACAUGUCCUGCAGAGCUGAGACCUGUGGGGCGGCGGCUGACCUUUGACCCCGUGACACAGUUUGGCGAGGAAUGUGAGGCCUGCAGGAGCAUUGCUGACCUGCUGUUCACAUGUACAGCAGUGAAGUAUCUAAGGAUGUGAGAGCUUGAAGCCGCUGUCACUCUGUUUGCUCAUUUGUGGAUCCUCACUCAGGGAAACAAGCCUCAAUGACACAGCCCAGAACCAGAACCACCAGAACCAUGAGCCUGAGGGUCUGGACUAACUGCAGAUCAGAGGCUGAGGACCAUCAAUGCAAUGUAUCGAACUAUGUGUACAAGUACUGUGAAGUACUUCUACUUGUACUUUUAUUCUGUAAAACCAAACCCACUGCAGUACUGGUUCAACUGCAGGGUGUAUGGUUUCAGUGACCUUUGGACCUGCUGAGGCCUGAGCGGCUCUGGUUCUGCUCAGCUGAACAGACAGGUUCAACCACAUUGAGGGCCACAAAGUAACAGAACAAAUACGGACAUGUGGACUUUUGUCUGAUCUUUGGCUCCUAUUGACGACGUGACGAGUCAGAAGCUGAUCUCAGCUCCGGUUGGGGCAGAAGUGAAGCACAGCAGAGACGAGAGCAGAGGAAGAGCUGAAGGUCACACACUUCCUCGCCAGCGAUGAACGGCUUCUGAGUCAAGUCGAGAGAUGUAGAAGUGAUGGAGCAGAGGAAGUGGUGUCGCUGUGUGGGCCCCGCGCGACCUUAUAUGGCAACAGGCUGUUUCUCAUCAAGUAGAGUCUCACCACACUCGCAGCCUGUUCACUUCCUGCUCAGCAUCAGCUCCAGCGCCAGCGUCACACUCUGCUGGUUUACUGGGUCUGAGGCAAAGCAGGAACAAACAUUCCUGAAGAAUCAUCAGCUGUCACAUUACACAGCUGCUGCUCUGUUGCAUCACUCUGGCCCGAAUUUCAGUCCAGACCAUGUUAGUUCCUGUAAAUAAAUAAUUUCUCUGCAGUAAAGGUGCAGAAAGUGGAACCUGACAAUGCCAGAGGAAGAGGGGGAGUCAUCAAGCGUUGCACAUGAUCGAGGAAGUAGCAGAGGCCCAAGCAGAACAUAGACCUUCACUAAGGCCGGUGCACCAAGCACGUGUCCAUUAACUGGUCAGCAAGUUCUGGUGUGGAGGCUACACCAAUAAAAAGCAGCACAGAAGCUGCUUGAAGGUAAAGAGUAGAGCUGUGGGAGUGAAUGAGACGACACUGCUGAUUCUAACUACGACUAAAAGCCUCAUGUCUCUUACUGGAAGGAGUCAGAGCAGACGUCUCAGCCUUGCUGCUGGUGAUGUUGCUCCACUUGCUGGACAUAGAAAGAUGCAACAUGUGGAUCCCACACAUCUAAAGUUAAAUAUUAAGCUUUCCAACGCAACAUCAGGGUCAGUGAACUAAACAUUACUAUAAACGCAAAAAUAGCAGUGGGCCCAGAAUUUACUAACUGUUUUGUAUGAAGGUCACAAGCUUUUACUUUUUAUUCUGCAAAACAUUGAUAUUUUUGUUUGAGGAACUUUUAUUCAUGAACACAUCUCGACAACAUUACAAACUGAGGAAUAACUUUAUUUAUCCACCUUCAGAUCAGAAGCCGUAACCAUGGUAACUUGUCAAUUCCAUGAUGUUGAAUUAAAGUGUGAGGAUGUUCAA